GGUGCUGUGGCUCAAAUGGUAGAGCGUUAGCCUUGAGCUGAAGAGCUAAGGGACAGCACCC
rnacentral:tRNA from 1 species